CUCUCCGCGUCCCGCCGUUCCCCUGGCAACGGCCGUCUACACGCGCGACUGGGCGCCUGCAGGAUGACGAGCGCGGCGGCGGCGGCGGCCGAGGUGGAGGAGCCGGUGGCGCGGCGCUACGAGAUCAAGCGGCGCCUCGGCAAGGGGGCCUACGGGAUCGUGUGGAAGGCGGUCGACCGCAAGACUGGCGAAGUCGUGGCCGUGAAGAAGAUCUUCGACGCCUUCCGGAACCGCACCGACGCCCAGAGAACAUUCCGAGAAAUAAUGUUCCUUCAGGAAUUUGGAGAACACCCAAACAUCAUCAAACUCCUGAAUGUUAUCCGCGCUCAGAACGACAAGGACAUUUAUCUGGUGUUUGAAUCCAUGGAGACAGACUUGCAUGCUGUGAUUAAGAAGGGGGAUUUACUGAAAGAUAUUCACAAGUGUUAUAUCCUGUAUCAGCUCCUGAAGGCCACCAAAUUCAUCCACUCAGGAAACGUCAUUCACAGGGAUCAGAAGCCUUCCAACAUCCUGCUGGAUGCAGACUGCUUUGUUAAACUGUGUGACUUUGGGCUGGCCCGUUCCCUGUGCCAAAUCCACAAGGAUCACGGCAGCCAAGCACUUACAGAGUAUGUUGCAACUCGCUGGUAUCGGGCCCCUGAGAUUCUGCUUGCUUCUCACAGCUACACCAAGGGCGUGGACAUGUGGAGCCUCGGCUGCAUUUUGGGGGAGAUGCUGCUUGGAAAGCCCUUGUUCCCAGGCACGUCCACAGUCAACCAAAUUGAGCAGAUUUUGCGCGUCAUCCCUCCUCCAUCCCCAGAAGGAAAGUGUUGGUCUGUUCCUCGUGGUAACAAUCAGAUUGCUUCUGAUUGCAGAUGUUUCAGCCUUUCAUUCGGACUACAGAGCCUCUAUUAUCAGCCGCCUGAGCUCCCAGCCUUGGACCUUCUGAAAAGGCUCUUGGUCUUUAACCCUGAGAAGCGGCUGACAGUAGAAGAGGCACUGGAGCACCCCUAUGUGCAAAGGUUCCACUGUCCCACCAAAGAGCCUGCUCUGGAUUACAACGUGGUCCUCCCCCUGGAUGAUGACUUGCAGCUCUCUGUGGCUGAAUAUCGCAAUAAGCUGUAUGAGAUUAUUUUGGAAAGGAAGGCAAAUGACCAGCGUCAGCCACAGCAACGUCCAAGAAAGACUCUUCAGCCCAGUUCCUCACAGCCACACCUCCCUUUUGAAUCUCCAUGCAAGAUGCAGAGGACCCCACAACCCGCUCUGCCAAGUGGCUCUCCUGCGCCAUCCGGGCCUCCUUGUGAAGCUUCCUACCAAAGUGCAGGUGACAUCAGGCGUGGCUGCCCAAGGUCGGCCAUGAAUUCCACUGUGUGCAACCCUGUUGCCCACAUUGCUGCCAAUGAUAGCCAGUGGCCCUGCACCGUGGCGAGGAAUCGCUCCGCUCCCUUCUCUUCCCAUCAGGGCCCCUCCUCCCUCAACAGGAGGCCCGCAUCCCAGGCACCAGCAGACCAUCCUGCCCCUGCAGCUGUCGUGAAAGAACUCCCUGGCGUGAGUAAUUCUGCCUCGGGUCAGGGCCCCUAUCAUUGUGAGGAGGGGGGCUUCCCUUGGGAACGCUGCCGUGCCUCCUGCCACCCCUCCCCAGUCGAGGAAGGGGGGAGUGAACAUUGACCCCUGACAUCGACUGCCUCGUUGCCUCUUGACCUGGUUGAAUGUGUUGACUCUCACCUCACCAAUGCUCUUGUGGCCUCCUCACCUCCAGGAGGGCUCCUGUCCACUCAGUAAGGCCUUCAUUUGGCCUUGUGAUCCAGCCUGACCCUCGUCACAUGGAAAGGAAGUGGAAUUCUAGUCUACUUUUAGAGCUCUGGCUGGAACCUGAGGGUGUCUGUUAACAACUCUGUGCUCUCGGGGGGGGGGGCCUUCAGAUUUUAUGAAGGGGGUUGGUUAUUUUAUAACAACUAUGUACUUUGCUUCCUGUUUGGGGUUUAUUCUUCUUGCUUCUUCUAGAGAAACUGAAUUAUAAAAUGCAAAACUCUAUUCUGUUGAGACGACAGAGGAACCAGAACUCAGGCCUGUCUCUUGGCAUCAAGAACCGCUUACACAAACAUUUUUUGUUAGGGGAGCUGGACAGCAGGAUGUGUGUGCAGGAAGUCUGUGCUCAUUGCUCUGCAGAAGCAGCCGUCUGCUUGUGGGGGUGGGGGAGGAGGACAAGGAUACCAGGAAUCUGUGUCAGAGAGCAGCCGAAAUAUAAUGCCAAGAGAUGGUACUUUAAGUUCAGAGACCCUGGUUUAAAUUUUGCCUGAAGCCACUCCCAGCCACCUGCCCAUCUAGUAUGGGGAAAGCAGCAGAGGCCUACUUUGCAGGACUCCUGCCUACUCAGCAGCAGAAGGAUGAAUGCUGGAAAGCGCUGCAUAAAUCUGCAAUAGUCUUUGUGGAAAUGAGCGUGGGAUCCAGGAAGAGGAGGGGGAGAGCUGGACGGGGCGGUGCCUGUUUGCACAGGAGCUGGGGCCCUCUUGUUUGUUUCCUGGCCUUGUGCAAGAGGACUGAUGCUGAUGCUGAGAGCUGCCUCCAGGCACUGAAAGGGCCCGUGGGCCGAAGGCAGCUCACCUUCCACGGGAGACCACUGUCGCUUUCUGGCCAGGCUCAAGCAGCUGCUCUCAACCGCCCCCUGAUUAGGAAGGAGUCCUCACCCAGCAAGGCCCC